AAAAAAAGAGCUGGGGGGAAGGAAGGAAGGAAUCUAAAAGUGAUUGAUAGAGAGAAGGCACCCCACCCCACCCCACACCACACGCAAGCACAUUCUGCAAAAAAUUUAAAAAGGAAUGGGACUUCAACGUGGGACUUGUAAUGACAACAACAACUAUUUAUAAGCACCUUCAUGUGCUCCUAAAUAAGGGCCAUCAAAUGUCAAGCCCUACUAACAAAAUAUAUAUGUACAUAGCUUUCUUGGCUGUCGGCAGGAACCUACUUGAUGGUGAGACCGAUUAUUUAUUUUCUAUCUUUAUCUCUUAAAAUAGAGGUCUCUAUAUUUAUUUUGAGAAAUAUAGUGAACCCCCAACUAAUCUGAGGACGUAUGAUUAGAUCAAACUCAACGGUGAUGAUGAAUGCAAGAGGAAUAGUGAGACUCCGGGGUGUGGAGGUCUCUUUUGCAAUUUAGACGAGCAUUGGAUCAAAUACUACAAUAAGAAAAUUGGUUCAUGUGAUACACCUCAAGCGAAGAUGUGAAGAUUGUACCAUGGUAUGCCUUAGAGAAAUCAUAUUUUGCAACUUGUUAUGGAGAGUGAUUAAAAAAUUCGUGAUUGACAUGAUUAUAUAUAAUUCCAAUCUUGGCGAGGUAGUUUCCUCUUUGGUGAGGCGUAUUUACAUUCUUUUGACUUUGGAUUGACAAGUAUAAGUUCGUCAUACUUGCUAGGAGGGUAACAAAAGUGAUGAAUGCUAAUUAUAGUCAUUUUUGGAAUUAUUUUAGUUGCUUUAUUGUUAAAUCUCCUCUUGAUGAGUUUUGUCGUUUCUAUGAUGUGGAAUCUCCCCUUAGUGAGCUUUGUCGUUUGCUUUUUAAUGAUAUUUAUUUUAUGUUUA